GGGGGAUUUAAAGGUGAAAACCGCCGGAGGAUUGGAAUAUGUCCUAUUAGCUAGUUGGCGGGAUAAAAGCCCACCAAGGCGAUGAUAGGUAGCUGGUCUAAGAGGAUGAACAGCCACAAUGGGAUUGAGAUACGGCCCAUAUUCCUACGGGAAGCAGCAGUAGGGAAUCUUCCACAAUGGGCGAAAGCCUGAUGGAGCAAUGCCAUGUGAACGAUGAAGGCCAGACAGGUCGUAAAGUUCUUUUAGAGGGGAAAAAUUUGAUGGUACCCUCUGAAUAAGUGACAGCAAACUAUGUGCCAGCAGCUGCGGUAAUACAUAGGUCGCGAGCGUUAUUCGGAUUUAUUGGGCGUAAAGCAAGCGCAGGCGGAUGAAUAAGUUCUGCAUUAAAAGCAGCUGCUUAACAGUUGUUUGUGCCGAAUACUAUUCAUCUAGAAUGUGGUAGGAAGUU
rnacentral:rRNA from 2 species